GCCUGGGUGGCUCAGUUGGUUGAGCGUCUGACUUUGGUUCAGGUCGUGAUCUCACAGUUCAUGGGGUUCGAGCCCCACAUCAGGCU
rnacentral:tRNA from 1 species